GAUCCUGGCUCAGGAUGAACGCUGACAGAAUGCUUAACACAUGCAAGUCGAUGGGGAAGGUGGUGCUUGCACCAUGGUAACCAUGGCGGACGGGUGAGUAACGCGUAAGGAACUUGCCUGCGGGACCGGGGAUAACAGCAGGAAACUGCUGACAAUACCGGAUAAGGUCAUUAAGCUGCAUAGCUUAGUGAUGAAAGGAGACGCCUGCGGAGAGCCUUGCGUCCUAUUAG
rnacentral:rRNA from 1 species